AUAGGUUAAGUUAAUAAGGGCGCAUGGUGGAUGCCUUGGCACUAGAAGGCGAUGAAGGACGUGACUAACUACGAUAUGCCUCGGUUAGCUGUAAGUAAGCUUACCCGGGGGUUUCCGAAUGGGGCAACCCGAUCUUAAUGAUCAUCAUCUUUUUGAAUUCAUAGAUUAGAUGAAGCAAACGCUGUGAACUGAAACAUCUCAGUAGCAGUAGGAAAGUAAAGAAAUUUCGAUUCCGUCAGUAGCGGCGAGCGAACGCGGAAGAGCCCAAACCUGGAUGCUUGCAUCCAGGGGUUGUAGGACUGAUGUUGAGUUACAAAGGUAUAAGAUAGCAGAAACAGUUGGGAAGCUGUUCCAAAGAGGGUGACAGGCC
rnacentral:rRNA from 1 species